rnacentral:siRNA from 1 species
CUGAAUCUAGUAACCCGAGUUC